GAUGAACGCUAGCGGCAGGCCUAACACAUGCAAGUCGAGGGGCAGCACAGAAACAGCAAUGUUUUGGUGGCGACCGGCGGACGGGUGCGUAACGCGUAUGCAACCUACCUUUAACAGGGGGAUAACGGAGAGAAAUUUCCACUAAUACCCCAUAACAUCGAUCAAGGCAUCUUGAUUGGUUGAAAACUCCGGUGGUUAAAGAUGGGCAUGCGUUGUAUUAGGUAGUUGGUGAGGUAAUGGCUCACCAAGCCUACGAUACAUAGGGGGACUGAGAGGUUAGCCCCCCACACUGGUACUGAGACACGGACCAGACUCCUACGGGAGGCAGCAGUGAGGAAUAUUGGUCAAUGGGGGCAAGCCUGAACCAGCCAUGCCGCGUGCAGGAUGACGGCUCUAUGAGUUGUAAACUGCUUUUGUUCGAGGGUAAGGUGGGUUACGUGUAACCUUUUGAAAGUAUCGUACGAAUAAGGAUCGGCUAACUCCGUGCCAGCAGCCGCGGUAA
rnacentral:rRNA from 1 species